rnacentral:rRNA from 1 species
UGGGGGAUAUUGGACAAUGGGGGGAACCCUGAUCCAGCGACGCCGCGUGAGUGAAGAAGUAUCUCGGUAUGUAAAGCUCUGUCAGCAGGGAAGAAUUUAUGACGGUACCUGACCAAGAAGCCCCGGCUAACUACGUGCCAGCAGCCGCGGUAAUACGUAGGGGGCAAGCGUUAUCCGGAAUUACUGGGUGUAAAGGGAGCGCAGACGGUGUGGUAAGUCUGGAGUGAAAGGCGGGGGCCCAACCCCCGGACUGCUCUGGAAACUAUCAGACUGGAGUGCAGGAGAGGCAGGCGGAAUUCCUGGUGUAGCGGUGAAAUGCGUAGAUAUCAGGAGGAACACCGGUGGCGAAGGCGGCCUGCUGGACUGUAACUGACGUUGAGGCUCGAAAGCGUGGGGAGCAAACAGG